GGGGGAUCCAUGGGGGAUCUAUAAGAUAUCUAUGGGGGAUCCAUAGGGGAUCCAUUGGAUAUCUAUGGGGGAUCUAUAUGAUAUCUAUGGGAUAUCCAUGGGGGAUCUAUGGAGGAUCUAUAGGAUAUCUAUGUGGGAUCCAUGAGAAAUCCACUGGAGAUCUAUGGCGGAUCUAUAGGAUAUCUAUGGGGGAUUUAUGGGAUAUCUAUGGGAUAUCCAUGGGGGAUCCAUGGGGAAUCUAUGGGGGAUCUAUAGGAUAUCUAUGGGGGAUCCAUGAGGAAUCCAUUGGAGAUCUGUGGGGGAUCUAUAGGAUAUCUAUGGGAUAUCUAUCGGAGAUCUAUAGGAUAUCUAUGGGGGAUCCAUGGGGGAUCUAUGGGAUGCCUAUGGGAUAUCAAUGGGGGAUCUAUGGGAUGCCUAUGGGAUAUCAAUGGGGGAUCCAUGGAGGAUCCAUGGGGGAUCCGUGGGGGAUCUGUGGGGGAUCCGUGGGGCACAGCUUUGCUCUCACCCCUCGCUGCUGCUCGAUCUUCUGCUGCUGCACCUGCUUGUGGUUGGUGAUCACCUGGCGGAUGCCGUUGACGAAGCCGCUCUGAUCGUAGGGGAUGAGGCCCAUGAAGAUCUUCUUCUUGGACGAGUAGAGCAGCAUCAGAACCCGCACCUCGCAGGGCGCCGUGUGCGGGAAGUGAACACAGCCAGCCUGGGGGGGAGACAUAUGGGUCACUAUGGGUCGCUAUGGGUCUCUAUGGGGAGCUAUGGAGUCCUAUGGGUCUCUAUGGGGUCUCUAUGGGGCACUAUCGGUCUCUAUGGGGUCUCUAUGGGGUCCCUAUGGGGUUAUGGGGUGGCUAUGGGGCAGCAUCAGAACCCGCACCUCGCAGGGCGCCGUGUGUGGGAAGUGAACACAGCCAGCCUGGGGGGGGAGACAUAUGGGGUCGCUAUGGGGUCC
rnacentral:lncRNA from 1 species